GUGCUGGAGUAAAUGAUAGUGAUAAUAAAAAUGUAUAAGUGAUAAUAAAACUUAGUUCUCAUUGCUCCUCAUAUUGCUAUCUCUCCUCUUCUUUGAUCUUUGCUUUGGGAGAACAUGGGCUAUCUCUUUUUCUCUUUUUUUUCAGGUGGGUAGUAGAUACCCCUAAUUCUACUGUCGGACACUUGUCCAUUUUUUCCGCUCAAGUGGGCAUUUUUGUACCCCUAAUUCUACUUCGUACACUUGUCCAUUUUUACCUCUCGUCUCACUCUUUUUCUUUCUUUUUCGAGGUUCCGGGCACUUGCCCCUUUUUAUUUCCUCGCAUAUUUUUGCAUAACCCAUGCCUCUUCUGCAUUGAAUCUUUUUAGAGAGAGAGAAUAACAAUAUUUGAGACAGUGAGUGAUAAUAUUUUUAGCAAUUUUAAUGAAUGGUGAUGGAUGGUGUAGUAGAUGUGUGCAAGUGAAUAUCUUAAUUUAACCACAUGAAAAGCUCCUAAGGGUCUACACAGCUCGAUCAAACUCAAUGUAAAUAUAGUAAAAGAUGUUAUAGCAAGUAUGGCUGUGGUAGGUAAUUUGUUAUGCUAGGAACUCGUCAUGUGAUUUGUAAGUUUUCAAAAUAAAUCUCCAGAACUUAGUGUAGUAGGAACAAGAUAAACAACAGCUCUACUUUAUAUCAUGCCUUUCUCUUACCUAGAAAUUAGUUUUAUGCUUCCCAUAGAUAGUAAAUUCAGUUUUAGUAAUUCCUGGAAGAACUCUAAUAUAAAAGCUAGGUACUUGAAAGUAAGCAAACAAAGCAACUGUUCAUUAUUUCCAUCAUGCAUCUUUUUGAUCUUUUUGUUUUUUUUCUAGAGAUUUGCACUUAACAGAUAAAAUAAAGCACACUUAUCUACACACUCUUUUUAUUUUGUUUUCAUGUUUAUAGAAUGCAGUAAAUUAAAGCAAGAAAAUAUUUAUUUGGUUUUCUAAGUUUUUCCUUUUUAAGAUAAAUAAAACACUAAGACAAAAUAGAAUAAAUAAGAAGAGCAAAUAAAAACUUACUUGAUAAAUUGGGGAGGAACUCCCCCAAGCUGGAUGUUGACGUCAGUCUUACCCGAUGUUCCAGAACCGCAUCAUGGUUGUGAUGUUGUUAUUCAUUGUUGUUGUAUCUUGUCUCAGCUCUUCUACUGCAGCGGCAUGGUCCUGGUUCCAUUUUUGUUGCUCUUCCAGGAGUCUUCCAUGUUCUGCUUGCAUGUUCUGGAUGUCGAGGAGGGUGUUGUCGGUACGAGUGAAGAAAGCACCGGCCUCUUGAUAGUAGUCAUUCGUGAAAGCAUAGGAGGCGUCGGAGUAUCGUCCUGCAUCUAAUUGGGGCGGAGGUCUAGAUCCUGAAGCUCCAUAUGGAUCAGUGGAAUACCUGCCUGU
rnacentral:lncRNA from 1 species